rnacentral:lncRNA from 1 species
UAAGUAAAUUAGUUGUAGAUGGUAGGAACUAGUUUGCUCACUCAGGGAAGGUGAACCAGGGAAGACAAACCCUGUGGUACUGGAUUAGAAUCAAAUAUCAGUAUGAACUUAUAUUUAGCUUUUAGCAGUAGAUACUGAAAUAAUUAUAGAUCUCUCUCUCUCUCUCUCUCUCUACACACACACACACACACACACACAGGAUAAACACUAAUUUCUUAGCUCUGUCUGUUAGUAGAGCUUAGGAAUGGUGCCAUCUCACUAACAGUGGACACAUUUGGCCAUUGGAUCUUGGUUUCUAAAUACCAUUCUCCAGUAAAAUGGUAUCUAGGAAAAAUGGUGAUUAUAGGGUUGGAAUAGGAAAAAAUGUUCUUAUAUUUUCUGGCACUAUAAUGAGCCUAGAGCACCUUUAGUGCCAGAAACAAGGAAGUGCUAAAAAUACACAAGGGUGAGGGAGUGUCAAAGGGAUGUAGGUGCCAACCCGAAAGAACUCUCAAUGGCUUAAGUUGGAACAAUUUGAACAGAAAAAUAAAUGACGUAUUGGAAUAAAAGUAUAAAAUAAGUAUAUAUGUGCUUAUACUGAUAUAAAUGACUGCAUAAAUAUAUGGAUGAGAAGACACAAAUCUUCCUUACUGAAAAAUUCCAGUAGCUUAGUACUCUCAAAUCCUAAGGUGGGUUGGACUUAGUGACUUGCUUCUAAAGAAUGAAGAAUGAUGAGGGGAAAACAGUAACUUCACAGGGAGAAGCCUCACAAGCAGUUACUUAACAAGAUGACCAAGGUAAAUAUCAUAGUUAUAUUCAUGUUGAUAACCUGUACCCCCUGAUAGGUGAUAA